GACGAACGCUGGCGGCGUGCUUAACACAUGCAAGUCGAACGGAAAGGCCCUGCUUUUGUGGGGUGCUCGAGUGGCGAACGGGUGAGUAACACGUGAGUAACCUGCCCUUGACUUUGGGAUAACUUAAGGAAACUGGGGCAAAUACCGGAUAGGAGCUCCUGCUGCAUGGUGGGGGUUGGAAAGUUUCGGCGGGUGGGGAUGGACUCGCGGCUUAUCAGCUUGUUGGUGGGGUAGUGGCUUACCAAGGCUUUGACGGGUAGCCGGCCUGAGAGGGUGACCGGCCACAUUGGGACUGAGAUACGGCCCAGACUCCUACGGGAGGCAGCAGUGGGGAAUAUUGCACAAUGGGCGGAAGCCUGAUGCAGCAACGCCGCGUGCUGGAUGACGGCCUUCGGGUUGUAAACCGCUUUCGCCUGUGACGAAGCGUGAGUGACGGUAAUGGGUAAAGAAGCACCGGCUAACUACGUG
rnacentral:rRNA from 1 species